AUGGUGUCAAACAUUUGGGGAUGCGACCCUUAAGAAGAAUCAGGGAGGCAGGUUGGAAGGAGUCAAGAGUCAGAAUCCUCAGAAACAAAGCAGAAGACAUCACCAGAAGGAAUCUGGAUCUUUGAUCCCCACUUAUUCCCAGUCUGCAGGAUCCAGGUAAGACUGUAUCUUUACUUUCUUGGUACCCCCCAGAACUGGGUUUAAUAAAUACUUGCCGAGCAGAAUUAA